GGACAUGGAAGCCGCCCCGCAGCAUAGGGGUGAGCAAGAGGGCACUGCGCACUUCAGUAAGGACACUCCCUCCCGUGCAGGAACCCCUCUUGGCAUCAGCUGAGCCUGUGGCAUUAUCGGCACCGCCCUGGGCAUCCGCAGACCAUCGUGAGAAAAGGACAUCACUUGCCAGUCUGAGAGGACUCGGGGUCUCUCCCUAGCAGGCAAACUGCAACAGGGAGAAUGGUGACACUUACCCAGCAGGACCUGUUUGGCCACAAUGGCCGCCAGGCGGCCCAGAAGAUGGCCUCGUCCAUCCAGCACAAGAACCUGUGAGAGACAAGGAGAACUGAGAACCAGCCCGGCUGUCCUUAUCAGGCUGCCACGUACCCCUGUAAACCAGAUGUGCUUGUGAUCAGAUGGGCUGGGUUCUCCAAAGGGUCAGCGGGUACUUGAAAGGCCACGUACUUCUGGCUUGGUACUGUGGACAUGGACCUGUGAUACCACUUACAAAUUGUAGAACAGGUCAAUGCCUAGUUGUUUUUCUAUGUGUAUGUGUAAAGCACACUUGACAGAGGCUCACCAGGUUACCCAUACAC